rnacentral:rRNA from 1 species
GAUGAACGCUGGCGGCGUGCCUAACACAUGCCAGUCGAACGGAAACACGAGGCGCUUUGCCCUUUUACGUUAGAGUGGCGCACGUGUGAGUCACGUGUGUGAAACACCUCUAUGUCUGGGGUAAACUCGUGAAAACGGUGGUUAAACCCGAUAAUCUAUUUAAGCCCAUGGUUGGGUAGUUUAGGACGGCUUUGCCGUGACUUAUCCAUGGUUCCGGUCGGGAUUAGCUAGUUGGUGGGGUAACGGCUUACCAAGGCAACGAUGCGUAGCGGACCUGAGAGGGUGACCAGCCACACUGGAACUGAGACACGGUCCAGACUCCUACGGGAGGCAGCAGUAGGGAAUAUUGCGCAAUGGGCGAAAGCCUGACGGAGCAACGCCGCGUGAGUGAUGAAGGUCUUCGGAUGGUAAAGCUCUGUUAUCAGGGAAGAAGAAAGGUAAGAUAAUCCAUGCGCUUAUUGACGUUACCGGAUGAAGAAGCCCCGGCUAACUACGUG